rnacentral:rRNA from 1 species
GAGUUUGAUCCUGGUUCAGAUUGAACGCUGGCGGCAUGCCUAACACAUGCAAGUCGAACGGUAACAGGUCUUCGGACGCUGACGAGUGGCGGACGGGUGAGUAAUGCGUAGGAAUCUGUCUUUUAGUGGGGGACAACCCAGGGAAACUUGGGCUAAUACCGCAUGAGCCCUGAGGGGGAAAGCGGGGGAUCUUCGGACCUCGCGCUAAGAGAGGAGCCUACGUCCGAUUAGCUAGUUGGCGGGGUAAAGGCCCACCAAGGCGACGAUCGGUAGCUGGUCUGAGAGGACGACCAGCCACACUGGGACUGAGACACGGCCCAGACUCCUACGGGAGGCAGCAGUGGGGAAUUUUUCGCAAUGGGGGCAACCCUGACGAAGCAAUGCCGCGUGGAUGAAGAAGGCCUUCGGGUUGUAAAGUCCUUUCGUGGAGGACGAAAAGGUGGGUUCUAAUACAAUCUGCUAUUGACGUGAAUCCAAGAAGAAGCACCGGCUAACUCCGUGCCAGCAGCCGCGGUAAUACGGGGGUGCAAGCGUUAAUCGGAAUCACUGGGCGUAAAGGGUGCGUAGGCGGUACGUUAGGUCUGUCGUGAAAUCCCCGGGCUC